GGGCGAAUGGUCUCAACGGUAAGAUACUUGGUUAGCCUGGUAAACCCAAGUGAUGUUGGUUCGACUCCGACUUCGUCCA